rnacentral:rRNA from 1 species
AUUGAACGCUGGCGGCAUGCCUAACACAUGCAAGUCGAACGGUAACAGGCCUUCGGGCGCUGACGAGUGGCGGACGGGUGAGUAACGCGUGGGAAUCUGCCUAGUAUGGGGGACAACCUGGGGAAACUCAGGCUAAUACCGCAUACGCCCUACGGGGGAAAGCAGGGGAUCUUCGGACCUUGCGCUAUUAGAUUGAGCCUGCGUCGGAUUAGCUUGUUGGUGGGGUUAAAGGCCUACCAAGGCGACGAUCCGUAGCUGGUUUGAGAGGACGAUCAGCCACACCUGGGACUGAGACACGGCCCAGACUCCUACGGGAGGCAGCAGUGGGGAAUAUUGGACAAUGGGGGCAAACCCUGAUCCAGCAAUGCCGCGUGUGUGAAGAAGGCCUGCGGGUUGUAAAGCACUUUCGGAUGGGAAGAAAAGCUUCAAGGCUAAUAUCCCUUGAGUCGUUGACGUUACUAUCAGAAGAAGCACCGGCUAACUCCGUG